rnacentral:rRNA from 1 species
UACGAAGGGGGCUAGCGUUGCUCGGAAUCACUGGGCGUAAAGGGUGCGUAGGCGGGUCUUUAAGUCAGAGGUGAAAUCCUGGAGCUCAACUCCAGAACUGCCUUUGAUACUGAGGAUCUUGAGUUCGGGAGAGGUGAGUGGAACUGCGAGUGUAGAGGUGAAAUUCGUAGAUAUUCGCAAGAACACCAGUGGCGAAGGCGGCUCACUGGCCCGAUACUGACACUGAGGCACGAAAGCGUGGGGAGCAAACAGG